rnacentral:sRNA from 1 species
GUUGGCCGCGGAGACUGCGACCCUCUUCUCUCAGUCUUCUUUAUUACCAUGCCGCUCUACGAGGGCCUGGGGAGCGGCGGGGAGAAGACGGCGGUAGUGAUCGACCUGGGAGAGGCCUUUACCAAGUGUGGAUUUGCUGGAGAAACUGGUCCAAGAUGUAUAAUUCCUAGUGUGAUAAAAAGAGCUGGGAUGCCUAAGCCUAUCAGAGUUGUUCAGUAUAAUAUCAAUACAGAAGAAUUAUAUUCCUACCUAAAGGAAUUCAUCCACAUACUAUAUUUCAGGCAUCUAUUGGUGAAUCCCAGAGACCGCCGAGUUGUGAUUAUUGAAUCGGUAUUAUGUCCUUCUCACUUCAGAGAGACGCUCACUCGUGUUCUUUUCAAAUAUUUUGAGGUACCUGUCUUUAUAUCAAAUAAGUAAAUUGCUUUUGAAAUAAAAAGAGAAGCAAUAAAAUUCUUACCAAUAUUUAGGGAAUCUUUCUUCUCUUUUUUUUUGUUGGUAGGUACUCAAAACUUAAACUAAUAAAAGCCCUUAUUUUGUCUC